GACGAACGCUGGCGGCGUGCUUAACACAUGCAAGUCGAACGGAAAGGCCUUUUCGGAGGUACUCGAGUGGCGAACGGGUGAGUAACACGUGGGUGAUCUGCCCUGCACUCUGGGAUAAGCCUGGGAAACUGGGUCUAAUACCGGAUAGGACCGCACUUUAGUGUGUGUGGUGGAAAGUUUUUUCGGUGUAGGAUGAGCCCGCGGCCUAUCAGCUUGUUGGUGGGGUAAUGGCCUACCAAGGCGGCGGCGGGUAGCCGGACUGAGAGGUUGGUCGGCCACAUUGGGACUGAGAUACGGCCCAGACUCCGACGGGAGGCAGCAGUGGGGAAUAUUGCACAAGGGGCGCAAGCCUGAUGCAGCGACGCCGCGGGGGGGAUGACGGCCUUCGGGUUGUAAACUCCUUUCGCCAGGGACGAAGCGUUUUGUGACGGUACCUGGAGAAGAAGCACCGGCUAACUACGUG
rnacentral:rRNA from 1 species